GUCCACGCCGUAAACGAUGAAUGCUAGCCGUUGGCGAGCUUGCUCGUCAGUGGCGCAGCUAACGCUUUAAGCAUUCCGCCUGGGGAGUACGGUAGCAAGAUUAAAACUCAAAGGAAUUGACGGGGGCCCGCACAAGCGGUGGAGCAUGUGGUUAAAUUCGAAGCAACGCGAAGAACCUUACCAGCCCUUGACAUGUCCCGUAUGGAUUUCAGAGAUGAGAUCCUUCAGUUCGGCUGGCGGGAACACAGGUGCUGCAUGGCUGUCGU
rnacentral:rRNA from 1 species